AUUCGGGGUGGCGCAGUGGUAGCGCGUUAGGCUCAUAACCUAAAGGUCCCAGGAUCGUACCCUGGCCCCGAA
rnacentral:tRNA from 1 species